rnacentral:rRNA from 1 species
AUUGAACGCUGGCGGCAGGCCUAACACAUGCAAGUCGAGCGGAUGAUAGGAGCUUGCUCCUUGAUUUAGCGGCGGACGGGGAGUAAUGCCUAGGAAUCUGCCUGGUAGUGGGGGAUAACGUUCCGAAAGGAACGCUAAUACCGCAUACGUCCUACGGGAGAAAGCAGGGGACCUUCGGGCCUUGCGCUAUCAGAUGAGCCUAGGUCGGAUUAGCUAGUUGGUGAGGUAAAGGCUCACCAAGGCGACGAUCCGUAACUGGUCUGAGAGGAUGAUCAGUCACACUGGAACUGAGACACGGUCCAGACUCCUACGGGAGGCAGCAGUGGGGAAUAUUGGACAAUGGGCGAAAGCCUGAUCCAGCCAUGCCGCGUGUGUGAAGAAGGUCUUCGGAUUGUAAAGCACUUUAAGUUGGGAGGAAGGGCAGUAAGUUAAUACCUUGCUGUUUUGACGUUACCGACAGAAUAAGCACCGGCUAACUUCGUGCCAGCAGCCGCGGUAAUAC